rnacentral:piRNA from 1 species
UGAUUAAGUAUGUUGAGUAAGG